rnacentral:ncRNA from 1 species
UUGCAAACUGUAGUCUGGCUUUUUUUAAUGGCAGUUUUGGAGCAGUGGCUUCUUCCUUGCUAAGCGGCCUUUCAGGUUAUGUUGAUAUAGGACUCGUUUUACUGUGGAUGUAGAUACUUUUGUAUUGUGCUGCUAGAGGUGAAAUUCUUGGACCGGCGCAAGACGGACGAAAGCGAAAGCAUUUGCCAAGAAUGUUUUCAUU